rnacentral:rRNA from 1 species
AUUGAACGCUGGCGGCAGGCCUAACACAUGCAAGUCGGACGGUAGCACAGAGGAGCUUGCUCUUCGGGUGACGAGUGGCGAACGGGUGAGUAAUGUCUGGGAAACUGCCCGAUGGAGGGGGAUAACUACUGGAAACGGUAGCUAAUACCGCAUAACGUCGCAAGACCAAAGUGGGGGACCUUCGGGCCUCACACCAUCGGAUGUGCCCAGAUGGGAUUAGCUGGUAGGCGGGGUAACGGCCCACCUAGGCGACGAUCCCUAGCUGGUCUGAGAGGAUGACCAGCCAGACUGGAACUGAGAGACGGUGCAGACUCCUACGGGAGGCAGCAGUGGGGAAUAUUGCACAACGGGCGCAAGCCUGAUGCAGCCAUGCCGCGUGUAUGAAGAAGGCCUUCGGGUUGUAAAGUACUUUCAGCGGGGAGGAAGGUGCUGAGGUUAAUGAGCUCAGCAAUUGACGUUACCCGCAGAAGAAGCACCGGCUAACUCCGUGCCAGCCGCCGCAGUAA